AGUGGCAGACGGGUGAGUAACAUGUGGGUAUCUUCCCUUUGGUGAGGAAUAACACGAGGAAACUUGUGCUAAUACCUCAUAAGUCUUUACGGAGAAAGCUUUAUGCGCCAAUGGAUGAGCCCGCACUUGAUUAGUUUGUUGGUGGGGUAAUGGCCUACCAAGACUUUGAUCAAUAGCUGAUUUGAGAGGAUGAUCAGCCACAUUGGGACUGAGACACGGCCCAAACUCCUACGGGAGGCAGCAGUAAGGAAUCUUGCACAAUGGAGGAAACUCUGAUGCAGCGAUGCCGCGUGAGUGAAGAAGGCCUUUGGGUUGUAAAGCUCUUUCGUCGGGGAAGAAAAUGACUGUACCCGAAUAAGAAGGUCCGGCUAACUUCGUGCCAGCAGCCGCGGUAAUACGAAGGGACCUAGCGUAGUUCGGAAUUACUGGGCUUAAAGAGUUCGUAGGUGGUUAAAAAAGUUGGUGGUGAAAUCCCAGAGCUUAACUCUGGAACUGCCAUCAAAACUUUUUAGCUAGAGUAUGAUAGAGGAAAGCAGAAUUUCUAGUGUAGAGGUGAAAUUCGUAGAUAUUAGAAAGAAUACCAAUUGCGAAGGCAGCUUUCUGGAUCAUUACUGACGCUGAGGAACGAAAGCAUGGGUAGCGAAGAGGAUUAGAUACCCUCGUAGUCCAUGCCGUAAACGAUGUGUGUUAGACGUUGGAAAUUUAUUUUCAGUGUCGCAGCGAAAGCGAUAAACACACCGCCUGGGGAG
rnacentral:rRNA from 1 species